GAGUUUGAUUCUGGCUCAGAGCGAACGCUGGCGGCGUGCUUAACACAUGCAAGUCGAGUGCGCGCCUGUAGCAAUACAGGUGGCGCACGGCGCACGGGUGCGUAACACGUGGGUAAUCUGCCCUUCGAAGGGGAAUAACUCGCCGAAAGGCGAGCUAAUUCCGCAUAACAUUCCGGGGACUUUGGUUCUUGGAUUCAAAGGCGUAAGUCGUCGGAGGAGGAGCCCGCGCACGAUUAGCUAGUUGGUGAGGUAAUGGCUCACCAAGGCUAUGAUCGUUAGCUGGUCUGAGAGGAUGGCCAGCCACACUGGAACUGAGACACGGUCCAGACUCCUACGGGAGGCAGCAGUGGGGAAUCUUGCACAAUGGGCGAAACCCUGAAGGAGCGACGCCGCGUGAAGGAUGAAGGUCUUCGGAUUGUAAACUUCUGUCAUUAGGGAACAAUUGUCACCGAGUAACUACCGGGGGCUUGAUAGUACCUGAAGAGGAAGAGACGGCUAACUCUGUGCCAGCAGCCGCGGUAAUACAGAGGUCUCAAGCGUUGUUCGGAUUCAUUGGGCGUAAAGGGUGCGUAGGUGGCGAGGUAAGUUGGAUGUGAAAUCCCAGGGCUUAANCCCUGGAACUGCAUUCAAUACUGCCUUGCUAGAGUACUGGAGAGGAGAUUGGAAUUUACGGUGUAGCAGUGAAAUGCGUAGAUAUCGUAAGGAAGACCAGUGGCGAAGGCGGAUCUCUGGACAGUUACUGACACUGAGGCACGAAGGCCAGGGGAGCAAACGGGAUUAGAUACCCCGGUAGUCCUGGCAGUAAACGGUGCACGUUUGGUGUGAGCGGAUUCGACCCCGCUUGUGCCGGAGCUAACGCGUUAAACGUGCCGCCUGGGGAGUACGGUCGCAAGAUUAAAACUCAAAGGAAUUGACGGGGACCCGCACAAGCGGUGGAGCAUGUGGUUUAAUUCGAUGCAACGCGAAUAACCUUACCUGGCCUUGACAUGCCUGGAAGUCUGCAGAGAUGCGGAUGUGCCUUCGGGAACCAGGACACAGGUGCUGCAUGGCUGUCGUCAGCUCGUGUCGUGAGAUGUUGGGUUAAGUCCCGCAACGAGCGCAACCCUUGUCCUUAGUUGCCAGCAUUAAGUUGGGAACUCUAAGGAGACCGCCGGUGACAAACCGGAGGAAGGUGGGGAUGACGUCAAGUCAUCAUGGCCUUUAUGGCCAGGGCUACACACGUGCUACAAUGGUAGAAACAGAGGGAAGCCAACGCGCGAGCGGGAGCCAAUCCCAGAAAAUCUAUCGUAGUCCGGAUCGGAGUCUGCAACUCGACUCCGUGAAGUCGGAAUCAAUAGUAAUCGCAGAUCAGCAUUGCUGCGGUGAAUACGUUNAANGGGUCUUGUACACACCGCCCGUCACACCAAU
rnacentral:rRNA from 1 species